rnacentral:rRNA from 1 species
CCUACGGGUGGCAGCAGUGAGGAAUAUUGGUCAAUGGCCGGAAGGCUGAACCAGCCAAGCCGCGUGAAGGACGAAGGUGCCAAGCAUUGUAAACUUCUUUUGUCAAGGGACAAAAUCAGGCUCGAGAGCCUGACCGAGGGUACUUGAAGAAAAAGCAUCGGCUAACUCCGUGCCAGCAGCCGCGGUAAUACGGAGGAUGCGAGCGUUAUCCGGAUUUAUUGGGUUUAAAGGGCGUGCAGCCGGGAAGACAAGUCAGAUGUGAAAUCCCGCGGCUCAACCGCGGAACUGCAUUUGAAACUGUUUUUCUUGAGUACCGGAGAGGUCAUCGGAAUUCCUUGUGUAGCGGUGAAAUGCGUAGAUAUAAGGAAGAACACCAGUGGCGAAGGCGGAUGACUGGACGGCAACUGACGGUGAGGCGCGAAAGCGUGGGGAGCAAACAGGAUUAGAUACCCGGGUAGUC